rnacentral:rRNA from 1 species
AUUGAACGCUGGCGGCAUGCCUUACACAUGCAAGUCGAACGGCAGCGCGGGAGCAAUCCUGGCGGCGAGUGGCGAACGGGUGAGUAAUAUAUCGGGACGUGCCCAGUAGUGGGGGAUAGCCCGGCGAAAGCCGGAUUAAUACCGCAUACGACCUACGGGGGAAAGGGGGGGAUCGCAAGACCUCUCGCUAUUGGAGCGGCCGAUAUCAGAUUAGGUAGUUGGGGGGGUAAAGGCCUACCAAGCCUGCGAUCUGUAGUUGGUCUGAGAGGACGACCAGCCACACUGGGACUGAGACACGGCCCAGACUCCUACGGGAGGCAGCAGUGGGGAAUUUUGGACAAUGGGCGCAAGCCUGAUCCAGCAAUGCCGCGUGCAGGAAGAAGGCCUUCGGGUUGUAAACUGCUUUUGUCAGGGAAGAAAUCCUCUAGGCUAAUACCUUGGGGGGAUGACGGUACCUGAAGAAUAAGCACCGGCUAACUACGUGCCAGCCGCCGCGGUAA